AGGUUUCCGAGAUUAUGCGCCAAAUGCUUACUCAAGCUCAAACGGCUGGUCAGUAUUUUACCAAUGACCAAAUCAAAGAAAUGACUCGCAAGGUUAGUGCUGAGGUUGACUUAGUUCAUCAGCAAACGCAGAAUCAGCGGUAUGGCUCUUCUCAUAUUGGCGCUACUGCAAAGGAUAUUUCUAAUGUCGUCACUGAUGCUGCUUCUGGUGUGGUUG
rnacentral:rRNA from 1 species